AACGAACGCUGGCGGCAGGCCUAACACAUGCAAGUCGAGCGAGGACUUCGGUCCUAGCGGCGGACGGGUGGGUAACGCGUGGGAACGUGCCCUUUGCUUCGGAAUAGCCCUGGUAAACUGGGAUUAAUACCGGAUGAGCCCUUUGGGGGAAAGAUUUAUCGGCGAAGGAUCGGCCCGCGUUGGAUUAGGUAGUUGGUGGGGUAAUGGCCUACCAAGCCGACGAUCCAUAGCUGGUGUGAGAGGAUGAUCAGCCACACUGGGACUGAGACACGGCCCAGACUCCUACGGGAGGCAGCAGUGGGGAAUCUUAGACAAUGGGGGAAACCCUGAUAUAGCCAUGCCGCGUGAGCGAUGAAGGCCUUAGGGUUAUAAAGCUCUUUCAGCUGGGAAGAUAAUGACGGUACCAGCAGAAGAAGCACCGGCUAACUACGUG
rnacentral:rRNA from 1 species